rnacentral:rRNA from 1 species
UACGGAGGGGGUUAGCGUUGUUCGGAAUUACUGGGCGUAAAGCGCACGUAGGCGGACUGAUAAGUUGGGGGUGAAAUCCCGGGGCUCAACCCCGGAACUGCCUCCAAAACUAUCAGUCUUGAGUUCGAGAGAGGUGAGUGGAAUUCCGAGUGUAGAGGUGAAAUUCGUAGAUAUUCGGAGGAACACCAGUGGCGAAGGCGGCUCACUGGCUCGAUACUGACGCUGAGGUGCGAAAGCGUGGGGAGCAAACAGG